rnacentral:rRNA from 1 species
AGAGUUUGAUCCUGGCUCAGGAUGAACGCUGGCGGCGUGCUUAACACAUGCAAGUCGAACGGGAAAUACUUUAUUGAAACUUCGGUCGAUUUAAUUUAUUUCUAGUGGCGGACGGGUGAGUAACGCGUGGGUAACCUGCCUUAUACCGGGGGAUAACAGCCAGAAAUGACUGCUAAUACCGCAUAAGCGCACAGAACCGCAUGGUUCGGUGUGAAAAACUCCGGUGGUAUAAGAUGGACCCGCGUUGGAUUAGCUAGUUGGCAGGGCAGCGGCCUACCAAGGCGACGAUCCAUAGCCGGCCUGAGAGGGUGAACGGCCACAUUGGGACUGAGACACGGCCCAGACUCCUACGGGAGGCAGCAGUGGGGAAUAUUGCACAAUGGGGGAAACCCUGAUGCAGCGACGCCGCGUGAAGGAAGAAGUAUCUCGGUAUGUAAACUUCUAUCAGCAGGGAAGAUAAUGACGGUACCUGACUAAGAAGCCCCGGCUAACUACGUGCCAGCAGCCGCGGUAAUACGUAGGGGGCAAGCGUUAUCCGGAUUUACUGGGUGUAAAGGGAGCGUAGACGGCGCAGCAAGUCUGAUGUGAAAGGCAGGGGCUUAACCCCUGGACUGCAUUGGAAACUGCUGUGCUUGAGUGCCGGAGGGGUAAGCGGAAUUCCUAGUGUAGCGGUGAAAUGCGUAGAUAUUAGGAGGAACACCAGUGGCGAAGGCGGCUUACUGGACGGUAACUGACGUUGAGGCUCGAAAGCGUGGGGAGCAAACAGAAUUAGAUACCCUGGUAGUCCACGCCGUAAACGAU